CAGUAGCCGCGGGAAUACAGAGGCCUCAAGCGUUGUUCGGAUUCAUUGGGCGUAAAGGGUGCGUAGGUGGCUUGGUAAGUUGAAGGUGAAAUCUCGGGGCUUAACCCCGAAACUGCCUUCAAUACUGCUAGGCUCGAGGACUGUAGAGGAGAAUGGAAUUCACGGUGUAGCAGUGAAAUGCGUAGAUAUCGUGAGGAAGACCAGUGGCGUAGGCGAUUCUCUGGGCAGUUCCUGACACUGAGGCACGAAGGCCAGGGGAGCAAACGGGAUUAGAUACCCCAGUAGUCCCUGUCUCUUAUAA
rnacentral:rRNA from 1 species